UACGUAGGGUGCGAGCGUUGUCCGGAAUUACUGGGCGUAAAGAGCUCGUAGGUGGUUUGUCGCGUUGUCCGUGAAAACUCACAGCUUAACUGUGGGCGUGCGGGCGAUACGGGCAGACUGGAGUACUGCAGGGGAGACUGGAAUUCCUGGUGUAGCGGUGGAAUGCGCAGAUAUCAGGAGGAACAUCCGUGGCGAAGGCGGCUCUCUGGGACGGUACUGACGCUGAGACGCGAAAGCGUGGGGAGCAAACAGG
rnacentral:rRNA from 1 species